rnacentral:rRNA from 1 species
UAAAGGGUGUGUAGGCGGAGAGAUAAGUCAGACGUGAAAAUUACGGGCUCAACCCGUAACCUGCGUUUGAAACUGUUUCCCUUGAGUGUCGGAGAGGUAAAUGGAAUUCCCAGUGUAGCGGUGAAAUGCGUAGAUAUUGGGAGGAACACCGGUGGCGAAGGCGGUUUACUGGACGACAACUGACGCUGAGACACGAAAGUGUGGGGAGCAAACAGGAUUAGAUACCCUGGUAGUCCACACCGUAAACGAUGAAUGCUAGGUGUGGGGGCGCAAGCCUCCGUGCCGCAGCUAACGCAAUAAGCAUUCCACCUGGGGAGUACGGCCGCAAGGUUGAAACUCAAAGGAAUUGACGGGAGCCCGCACAAGCAGUGGAGUAUGUGGUUUAAUUCGACGCAACGCGAAGAACCUUACCAGGUCUUGACAUCCCAGGAAGGCGGCGUAAUGGCUGCUGUGCCCUUCGGGGAAUCUGGUGACAGGUGGUGCAUGGUUGUCGUCAGCUCGUGUCGUGAGAUGUUGGGUUAAGUCCCGCAACGAGCGCAACCCUUACGGUCAGUUGCUACGCAAGAGCACUCUGGCCGGACUGCCGUUGACAAAACGGAGGAAGGCGGGGAUGACGUCAAAUCAUCAUGCCCCUUAUGAUCUGGGCUACACACGUACUACAAUGGCGAAUACAAAGGGAAGCGAAACCGCGAGGUGGAGCAAAUCCCAUAAAAAUCGCCCCAGUUCAGAUUGCAGGCUGCAACCCGCCUGCAUGAAGUUGGAAUUGCUAGUAAUCGCGGAUCAGCAUGCCGCGGUGA